UUCCUUCGUUGUAAAACCGGCCGGUGGCGCUCCCCGCCCCGCGCCUUACUCCACCGCUCCCGCGCGGCUUCACAGCUCGGGGCAGACAGAUUGAGACAUCGGCGCCGGCGCACGUUUGCUUUGCUCAAAGCUCGCGACUAUACAUGUAGCCGGCGUGAUUUUAAAUUUAUUUAAUUCCUAAUACGUCUUAGUGCUCGUUUAGUACCAAGUAACGUUUGUAUUUAGUGUUUAAAUCCCCAAUUGGGGAGCCAUAUUACGGCUGGAACUACAGCCCAGGCCGGGUUACGACGGUUCCGGAACCUCUACACAAGUUCCGGCAGAUCCGGAGCGGAGCGGCUGACGUCCCUCGGCGCGUUCCGUCUUCAGCCCGCAACGACACCAGCAGCUUCAGGGGAGUACUUGCGUGGUGGACCUGACCUCGGAGCAAAAUCAGUAUCGGCCUUACGAACCCACACCUAACGACCUUUGUUCGUGUGCUCACGCGGAGUUACGGCGAGAAUAAACCAGUUCUUUAUUUUAA